AAGUAAAUAUAAAUAUUAACAAGAAUUUUGGGGCAUUACAAUGAACACUUAGCUAACUACUCAACAAUCAUGAUAUUUAAAUACUCUUAUUUUACAAAUAAUGAUUUUUCUCAUAAAACAACUUAAUAAAAUAAUAAUAUAUAUUUUCCAUUGUCAACUAUCUGGCAUGAUUUCUCUCAAAAUCUGAACUUCAAUGCUCAUUACCUGUAGUAACUGCAAUUUUGCAAUGGAAAACAUUACUCACAAGCAAAAUCCAAAAGCAAUAAAGGGGUGAAUUUUGAAAGCAUGUAACAGUAUAAAACAAGUGAAAACAACAAGUAGAAUAUCUAGUAAAUACUAUUUCAGUCACAACACAAAUAAUAAGAAUCAUCGAGAUAGAAUACCUAAAUUCAUAUCGUCAAAAUUAGAAAGUUACAAAUCAACAAAAUGUUAUGAAUGUUACAAAUCAACAAAUUCUAUCUUGUUGGCGCAGGGUGAUCCUUAGAAGCACCAUCUUCAUCACAGUUUAGAAAUAUCACAUCGUAUAUACAUCACAUUGUACGUUGUACAUAGAUCCAACAUUAGGAAAUCCAACAAUUCACAUAAUAGCAAUAAAUUGACAUAAACAUAAUAGUAAUGCAACAAUUACACAAAAUACCAUACAUUUCAUAUCAAAUUAAAAUUAAUCAAGAACUUAUUAAUAUUUCUAAUUCAUCUUUUAUCGUCAUGCUUCUAAAUUUUCACAUUAAUUUAUUUAUCAUUCAAAUGACUACACUUGUAUGUAGCUCAGGGUCGGCCCAAUACAUUUGUAGGCCUAAAGCGAAUUAAUUUUAAGACCUUUUAAAUAUGCUAAUAGAUAAACAUAAACAUUAAGAACGCUAAAUUUAUAAUUUUAUUUUAGACAUGUCCGGCACUAAAUAUGAGUAUCGCUCUUAGUCAAAGUUCAAACAUUGAUUUUUAAGGUUGUGAUCUAACUUAUUCCGUUACACUCAACCCCAUUAGUGCAAAAACUAUAUCAAACAAAAAUUUAAUUAGUUUAAUUAAUAAUUUACGUUAAAAUAAUAUAUUUCUAACAAAUAACAUCAUAUCCAUAGAAAUUUGAAGAAAAAAGAAUUGAAGAUACCAACCUAUAACCAAUAAAAUGCCUACAACUCUCCAUUUAACUAUUGAUUAAGCUAGGCACAAUUUUUUUUAAAGAAUCCCGACUUACGAAAAUAUAUUUAAAGUCAAAAAGAUUUGGGGGCCUAAUAUGAGGCCUAAACAAUUUGGAGGCCUAAUACCCUUACUUUAGUGGCAGCCCCUUGGGCUAGCGCUUACGUAGCUUGCACAAAUUGAAUUAUGGAAAAUACAAUUUUCCAUGUUCGUCACAAUUAUAUUAUAUUCAUAGUUUGAAAUUCAUUUUAACCCAUACCUUAUUUCAAUGCUUUCACAGGCUAAUACUAAUCCACAAGAAAUAAUAUUUUUUUUCCUUUGACUCCUUGUCCUCCUCCAAUCGAUACAACUCGAUAAUUUAUGAUUAAAGAUAAAAAAAAAUGUGAAAAGGUCAAUUUCAAGACUGAGUCAGCUAAACUGACCCCAAAUAAGAAAAUAAUUUGGUGGAUAAUAUAGACAACGUUUACUCGAUCAUUUUGGUGUUGAUUUAACUCAAAUCAGACUUGCAGUGAGGAAGAACAUAGCAAAAACAUGAAAUUCAUCAAUAGAAAAAAUUGGGAUUUUGAAUUGAUAAAUAUUUCAAUGAGUAUAUGAAAAUGACUAAAUCAAUAGUAGAAACAUCAUAUGAAAAUUUGGAAUGAAAAGGAGAUGGUUUGUUACACAACAAUUUAACAAGAAGAUUGAUUUUCUUCUAUUUUCUCUCACACAAAGCAGUGUUAUUGUUGCUUUCAUAUAUUUACCGUAGCUAACCCUUGUUAUAUUUAUAUAAUAAUAACUAUGUCUAUCUCUUUGCAGCAUCAACAUUUGAGUCUGGUCCAUUAUGCACCACUUAAUUCAUUUUUUGUUUUUAUGAAUUAACUCGGCCAACUAUCUAAUACAUAAAUUUAUUGUAUUCUACCCACUCAAAAAUAAAAUAAUAUCUAUUACAUAUUCAUAAUAAAAAUACUAUUACUUUUAGAGACUAAUUAAAAUGAUAAAAUAAAUAAUAUAAUAUUGACACUUUAAAUUCACUAGUAAUAAAUCAAAUGUAUAUGUAUAAAAUUGUCGCCACAUAGCAAGCACAUAUAUAAUAAAUUAAUCACAAUUUUAUUAAUAUUCAAAUUUAUUAUUUAUAAAAUAAAUAAUUAAAAUAAGAAGUUGUUUAAUUGUAAUCAGAGCAUAAUUAUAUACACCUACUUAUUAUUAAUCUAAUUCACACAAAAUUGUCACAUUAAUUAUCACCACACAUAUACACGUUAAAUCACUUAAAGUAAGACUUAGUGUUAUAUAACAAUAACUUAUGUUUUUUCAGAAAAAAAUAAACAAUAACUUAUGUAUAGAUAUAUUGAAAUUAUAAUAUGUAAAAUUUGGAGUGGGUGUCUUAUCUUAUGAAGUCCUUUACUUUGAUUUGAGUCUUUUGAUGUUUAGUUAUACAAUUGAGUGAUUGGUUUAAUAUGUGUCACAUGGUAUCAUUUGGAUCCACAAACAACGCCUUUAUAUUUUGAUAAAAAAUAAUAUUUUUUGAGAUAUACCUAUCUACUUACUGCUUGUAUAGUCGAAAUUUAAAUCCCUUUGUAUUUUUAUCAUAGAUUAAUUAUAUACAUUUACGAGUUAGGUUAGUUACUUUGAUUUUACCUUUGGAUGUUGAGCAUCUCACACUCUCACUAAGACGUAAAUUCCAUCAUUUACUCUCCUUUCUUGAUCUCUUUAACUCAAUUAAAAAAAUUGUAUAUUAUAUAUCAAGCACCUUUGUCAUAUUUAUCAGUAAACAUCUCUACAUAAUUAAGCAAACAAAGACAACAAAAAUUUCAUAAUAUAUAUAAUGUGCUUCUCUGUUAUAGGGUUUUGGAUUUUCUUGUAUCGGUUAGAUAACCCCAUGAACUGAUUUUUUUAAUUUAAUAAAUAUAUAUUCAUCACUCAAAAAAAAUUACAUUUAACUUGUUUCUAAUGUUAUCAAAGAAAUUGCAAGAUCAGAGUGUAAAUGAAAGUUUAAGAAAAAUUGUAAGAAUGACAAUAUUAUAAUGACCAAAUAAAAUGAAAGACUUGUACAUAAUAGAGAAAUAUGAUUUUACACUAACUUGGGAAAAGCUUUACAAUAACCAUCAACGCAAUUCAUGAUAAAGUUAAAAGGACCCGGAUAUUUUUCAUAACAAACGGCGUCAGAAAUACACUCCUCUGUCAUGUAAAAUAAGAAUAAAAAAAUAUUACUAAAAAUGAGUGAAAUAUUUUGUGUGUAAGAUAAAAAGCAAAUUAGAAUAAGCUUACUUUCACCGUAGACUACAAUAAGAAACACUGAAACAAAAAAGAUCAUAUCAUAAACAAACUUGAAAAUGUCAG
rnacentral:lncRNA from 1 species